rnacentral:rRNA from 1 species
CCUACGGGUGGCUGCAGUGGGGAAUAUUGGACAAUGGGCGAAAGCCUGAUCCAGCCAUGCCGCGUGUGUGAAGAAGGCCUUCGGGUUGUAAAGCACUUUCAGUGGGGAAGAAAGCCUUGGGGCUAAUACCCUCGAGGAAGGACAUCACCCACAGAAGAAGCACCGGCUAACUCCGUGCCAGCAGCCGCGGUAAUACGGAGGGUGCGAGCGUUAAUCGGAAUUACUGGGCGUAAAGCGCGCGUAGGCGGUCUGAUAAGCCGGUUGUGAAAGCCCCGGGCUCAACCUGGGAACGGCAUCCGGAACUGUCAGGCUAGAGUGCAGGAGAGGAAGGUAGAAUUCCCGGUGGAGCGGUGAAAUGCGUAGAGAUCGGGAGGAAUACCAGUGGCGAAGGCGGCCUUCUGGACUGACACUGACGCUGAGGUGCGAAAGCGUGGGUAGCAAACAGGAUUAGAUACCCCAGUAGUC